rnacentral:rRNA from 1 species
UACAGAGGUCUCAAGCGUUGUUCGGAUUCAUUGGGCGUAAAGGGUGCGUAGGUGGCGCGUUAAGUCGGGUGUGAAAUUUCGGAGCUUAACUCCGAAACUGCAUUCGAUACUGCCGUGCUUGAGGACUGGAGAGGAGACUGGAAUUUACGGUGUAGCAGUGAAAUGCGUAGAGAUCGUAAGGAAGACCAGUGGCGAAGGCGGGUCUCUGGGACGGUACUGACGCUGAGACGCGAAAGCGUGGGGAGCGAACAGG